UAGAAUUCCACGUGUAGCGGUGAAAUGCGUAGAGAUGUGGAGGAAUACCGGUGGCGAAGGCGGCCUUCUGGACAGAUACUGACGCUGAGAUGCGAAAGCGUGGGGAGCAAACAGGAUUAGAUACCCUGGUAGUCCACGCUGUAAACGAUGUCGAUUUGGAGUUUGUUGCCUAGAGUGAUGGGCUCCGAAGCUAACGCGAUAAAUCGACCGCCUGGGGAGUACGGCCGCAAGGUUAAAACUCAAAUGAAUUGACGGGGGCCCGCACAAGCGGUGGAGCAUGUGGUUUAAUUCGAUGCAACGCGAAGAACCUUACCUGGUCUUGACAUCCACAGAAUCUUGCAGAGAUGCGGGAGUGCCUUCGGGAACUGUGAGACAGGUGCUGCAUGGCUGUCGUCAGCUCGUGUUGUGAAAUGUUGGGUUAAGUCCCGCAACGAGCGCAACCCUUAUCCUUUGUUGCCAUCGGUUAGGCCGGGAACUCAAAGGAGACUGCCGUUGAUAAAGCGGAGGAAGGUGGGGACGACGUCAAGUCAUCAUGGCCCUUACGACCAGGGCUACACACGUGCUACAAUGGCGUAUACAAAGGGAGGCGACCUCGCGAGAGCAAGCGGACCUCAUAAAGUACGUCUAAGUCCGGAUUGGAGUCUGCAACUCGACUCCAUGAAGUCGGAAUCGCUAGUAAUCGUGAAUCAGAAUGU
rnacentral:rRNA from 1 species